ensembl:miRNA
CUAUUAGGUUGGUGCAAAAGUAAUUGCGGUUUUUGCCAUCACUUGCAACGGCAAAAACCACAAUUACUUUUGUACCAACCUAAUA